UACGUGGGGGGCAAGCGUUGUUCGGAAUUAUUGGGCGUAAAGAGCUUGUAGGCGGUUUGUCGCGUCUGCUGUGAAAAUCCGGGGCUCAACCCCGGACUUGCAGUGGGUACGGGCAGACUAGAGUGUGGUAGGGGAGACUGGAAUUCCUGGUGUAGCGGUGGAAUGCGCAGAUAUCAGGAGGAACACCGAUGGCGAAGGCAGGUCUCUGGGCCGCUACUGACGCUGAGAAGCGAAAGCAUGGGGAGCGAACAGG
rnacentral:rRNA from 1 species